UGGGGAAUCUUGCACAAUGGGCGAAAGCCUGAUGCAGCGACGCCGCGGGGGGGAUGAAGCAUCUCGGUGUGUAAACCCCUUUCGAUUCGGAAGAAUGCCCGCAAGGGAGUGACGGUACGGAUAGAAGAAGCCCCGGCUAACUACGUGCCAGCAGCCGCGGGAAGACGUAGGGGGCCAGCGUUGUUCGGAAUUACUGGGUGUAAAGGGUUCGUAGGCGGUGCGGCAAGUUGGGAGUGAAAUCUCUGGGCUUAACCCAGAGGCUGCUUCCAAAACUGCUGUGCUCAAGUGUGGGAGAGGCGCGUGGAAUUGCAGGUGUAGCGGUGAAAUGCGUAGAUAUCUGCAGGAACACCCGUGGCGAAAGCGGCGCGCUGGACCACUACUGACGCUGAGGAACGAAAGCUAGGGGAGCAAACAGG
rnacentral:rRNA from 1 species